GAUGGGUGUUGUAUACGCAGGAAUUCACUUUUGACAUAACUCAUAGGGCUGGCUGCCAAAUGCAGCAUGUAGACGCCUUAAGCCGGAACCCGUUGAAAGAUGAUAACGAAACUGAAUCCGUGAUGUCUAUUACAGAAGGUGACUGGUUAUUGUCAGUUCAGUUACAAGAUGCAGCUAUAUGUAGUAUUCGCGAUAUUCUGUUGUCAGGGGAGGCCGAGUCUAAUAAACGGAUUUUUAAUGAAUACGAGGUGUUAGGUAAUAAAGUGUACCGACGUACAGAGUAUGGAAGGCGCUGGUUGGUUCCAAAAAGCUGUAUAUGGCAUGUAAUACGUGCAAACCAUGACGACGUAGGACAUUUUGCAGUAGAUAAAACUAUUGAGAGAAUUCGAGCAAAAUUCUGGUUUCCGCGUUUAAAAAAGACUGUUACAAAAUACAUAAAAAAUUGUAUAAAUUGCAUUUAUUACAAAAAUAUACAUGGUAAAAAACCCGGUAAAUUAUUUCCAAUUCCGAAAUACGCAAGGCCCUUUCAUACUCUGCACGUGGACCAUCUUGGCCCUUUUGUGAAAACAACUCAACAGAAUAGUUAUUUAUUAGUACUCGUAGAUUCUUUCACAAAAUUUGUGUUCAUUUCGGCGGUUAAAAACACAAAAAGUAUAGUAGUCAUUAAUGAGUUAAAUAAGAUUUUUAAGAUUUUCGGUAACCCAAAACGUUUGAUUUGUGACGCGGGUAGCGCAUUUACAUCCAAGUUAUUCACAGAGUAUUGCAACGCUAGGCAUAUAAGACGUCAUAUUAUCGCGACAGCCGUACCUCGCUCGAACGGUCAAGUCGAGCGAUACAACUUGACGAUUUUAGAGGCCUUGCGCAGCAUGGGCGCUGAUACAGAGAAUAAUAAAUGGGAUACGCACAUACCAAGUAUCCAACAAGGCAUUAAUAUCACUGUAAACAAAACCACAGCCGCAGUACCCAGUGAGGUUUUUUUUGGAUACCGAAUUCGAAUGAAUAAUGAUGCGAUUAUUGAUGAUAAUUUAGAAAGUACUAUCGAUGUCACUGCAUUAAGAAACACUGUCGAUAAUAAUAUUAAAAAAGAUGCCGAACGACAGAAGGCAUCAUUUGACUCAAAAAGAAAGGAGGCAAGACAGUAUAAUGUUGGCGAUUUAGUUGUGCUGAAAAUUCCUAGUCAGUCCAAUGAUGGUAAUAGCACAAAAUUAUUACCUUUGUACAAAGGGCCCUUCCAAAUUACCGAGGUUUUAGGACAAGAUAGGUACAAGGUCACUGAUCUUCGAGGCGCUGAAAGAAGUUCUAAAAGGUAUGAUGGAACGGCCUGCGUGGAGAAUAUGAAGCCGUGGAUUCAUAUAGAGGAGUAACCGGAUGUUGUCGAUGAAAGCUUCCGCAUCAGGCCCUAACGAGCUCCAGGAGUAGCUCGUGGCAGAGGACGGCCGGAUGUUGUCGCCACGGCAUUUUGGCAACACCACGUCGACGAUCCUGGCAACGCCGCGUGUGACGUACAUCCGGAGCUGUCAAACCCAACGUCAUAAAAGGACAAGCACAAGGCGGGAGCGACCACUUGCCAUCUAGCAGCCACCAGCGACGGAGUAUUUGGUUAAAUGUAUUGAUCUGAGUAUAAUUGUGUCAUACCUAUUUGCGAUAUCAUUCACGGUCGUAUUAAGUGUAAUAUGGUCUGCAUAUUAUACUUAAUACGAUCAGUUUGUUUCUGUAUUAUUGUUAAUUGGAUAAAUAAAUAAAUGUAUUAAUGUUG